rnacentral:rRNA from 1 species
UACGUAGGUGACCAGCGUUGUCCGGAUUUACUGGGCGUAAAGAGCGCGCAGGCGGUCGUUCAAGUCGAGUGUGAAAGCCCCCGGCUCAACUGGGGAGGGUCAUUCGAUACUGAUCGACUCGAAGGCAGGAGAGGGAAGCGGAAUUCCCGGUGUAGUGGUGAAAUGCGUAGAUAUCGGGAGGAACACCAGUGGCGAAGGCGGCUUCCUGGCCUGUUCUUGACGCUGAGGCGCGAAAGCCAGGGGAGCAAACGGG